rnacentral:rRNA from 1 species
AUUGAACGCUGGCGGCAGGCUUAACACAUGCAAGUCGAGCGGGGUGAUGGUGCUUGCACUAUCACUUAGCGGCGGACGGGUGAGUAAUGCUUAGGAAUCUGCCUAUUAGUGGGGGACAACAUCUCGAAAGGGAUGCUAAUACCGCAUACGUCCUACGGGAGAAAGCAGGGGAUCACUUGUGACCUUGCGCUAAUAGAUGAGCCUAAGUCGGAUUAGCUAGUUGGUGGGGUAAAGGCCUACCAAGGCGACGAUCUGUAGCGGGUCUGAGAGGAUGAUCCGCCACACUGGGACUGAGAAACGGACCAGAGUUCUACAGGAGGCAUUAGUGGGGGAUAUUGGACAAUGGGAGGAACCCUGAUCCAGCCAUGCCGCGUGUGUGAAGAAGGCCUUAUGGUUGUAAAGCACUUUAAGCGAGGAGGAGGCUCUUUUGGUUAAUACCCAAGAUGAGUGGACGUUACUCGCAGAAUAAGCACCGGCUAACUCUGUGCCAGCCGCCGCUGUAA